rnacentral:rRNA from 1 species
CAGCAGCCGCGGGAACACGAAGGGGGCUAGCGUUGUUCGGAAUUACUGGGCGUAAAGCGCACGUAGGCGGACAUUUAAGUCAGGGGUGAAAUCCCGGGGCUCAACCCCGGAACUGCCUUUGAUACUGGGUGUCUAGAGUAUGGAAGAGGUGAGUGGAAUUCCGAGUGUAGAGGUGAAAUUCGUAGAUAUUCGGAGGAACACCAGUGGCGAAGGCGGCUCACUGGUCCAUUACUGACGCUGAGGUGCGAAAGCGUGGGGAGCAAACAGGAUUAGAUACCCGGGUAGUCCCUGUCUCUUAUAC